UCCUGCUGUGCCCUCUCCUUUUCCCCAAGGUCCAUAAGGCCCCAAGGGUUUUUGGAGGGGCUGGCAAACCCAGAAGAAGGGCCCAGAGCAUUGCCCUGAGUUGGCUUUGAACAAAUUCAGACGCGGCACAGGCUCUAAUCCUUCUGAUAUGUUACCUGUGGCCCAGGAUGUCAUGUGCAGCCCAGAAAGCUGGCCUUUGCCCAGAAGGAGAGUAUGAAUGUCCAAAUCUCCUGACUGGUUGGCACAUUUCCUAGGGGAAAGGCUCUGAGCCUGUCUGGAGAGAGAAGAUGCUCCAACGACAGCCCCGCCCUGGGUGGGACAAAGGGAAGGAGAUAAAGCGAUUUCUUUUCAGAGGUCUUUGGGCUAUGGGGUAGAGGGGGUUGAGGGGGGUUGAGGGCAGGUGG
rnacentral:lncRNA from 1 species